AAUCGCCGGCGCGCACCAUGCCGGCGCUCGUCGCCCCCACCUCCACCCGUUUGAGGGUGUCGCCUUCCGCCUCUACUUGCUUCGGCUGCCACCGGCGCGGCCGCAUGGACCAGGUCGCGGGGGGCGGGGUUGACGCCGACGGCGAGCCUGCGGUGGAGAGAGGGGCCAAGUAUUACAUCUCCAGCAAGUUAAGGAGUGCCAUCAUUCAGUGUUCCGUUCCAUCUUGAGACACCAUGGCAAAUUAAGGUGACAAAUUGUUGGUCUUUGGUGGUGACAUUGUUUCUGAAGAUUAAAAUGCAGGGGCUCUCCUGGUGGGCAUGAGGCGUGCUGACAAUUGUGCGCAAAGGCCCAUGACUGAAUCAAGGCUGUAAACGACAUCAAUUGGCAUGAUAAUUUGUAGAGAUGCAUGACACUAACAUAAUCUAUCUAUAUAGGUACUUUUGCUGCCCACAUGAUUGUGAGUGCUUUCACUCUUGUAUAUUAGUUGAAAUAGUUUUCUGUGUAGCUUUGUCUAACUAUCUUAAUGAAUCUGCAGGACAGAAUCUGUGGAGAGGAGUUGUGGAGCUCAUUGGAUAUCACACAUCUUGUGUUUUCCAUUUGAUAAAAGAUUGUAGCUUUCUUUUUCCUAUUAAAACAAAAAGGCCUUGUUCUGUGAUUAUUUGUGUUUAUAUGUGUCUGUUGGUUGAUGAUUUAAAUCCAUUGACCAAGUUCUUGUAAA